CAGAUGAUCUUUAUAAUCCCCAAAAAGCUUAAAGCGGGCAAUGGAGUUGACCUUGAAACAGCAAAUGGGCGACAUAAUUUCAAAAAUAAGAAAUUUUCAGAUCCGGCUACCGUCACUAAAUGGAAGGAUGAAAGAAUGAAACACCGUUUCAAGUACUCCAUGGUCAUACUGGAGAUGUCU